rnacentral:rRNA from 1 species
GUACGUGGCCAACCUGCUUGUCAAUGUCCGAUCUCAGCAGUUCUGUGAAGCUAAGCAAGGAUUGGCCUGGUUAGUACUUGGAUGGGAGACUGCUGGGAAUACCAGAUGCCACAGAGG